AAAUAGGCUUCAUACAAUUUGGCGUUCUGGUAAUUUCUGAUGUUCCGACGUAUACAACUAUCUGAUUCUCAGACAUUCUGAGUUAUCAGAGUUUUCUGAAAUGUAUAACCCCGUAUCGACUUGUCCGAGUUAACAUCGGACAGAUGGAAAUUUUUGGCGUUAUGCCAAAAUCAUAGUUUUCAUAACACGUCGACACCCCGCAAAGUUGUGCGGGAUGAAGGUAUAGUCAAGCCACUACGUAAGUAGAUG
rnacentral:autocatalytically_spliced_intron from 1 species